rnacentral:lncRNA from 1 species
AUAACAAUUUGUAAAACUAAAAAUAAAGAUUGUGAUAAAUGCUUGUUUCAAUUUAACCCAUAUGAUCAAAUAACAUGUAUGGUCAGCUCGUACUGGACCGUACGCGUAUACUCAUACGGUCCGACCGUAUGCGUAUGGUCGGAUCGUACGAGUAUACGUAUACGGUCCGGACAGUACGCGUACAGUCCAAAUACUCAUAUGGUCUGGAACAUAUA